GGGUAAAUUGCACCUGGGAUUUAUUGAAAUAAGAGAGAAGCUGGAAGAAUUAGAGUUGUAGCUGAGAAGCAGGAGAAGAGAAACCAGGAACGUCUGAAACGAAGAGAAGAGAGGGAGAGAGAAGAACGGGAGAAACUGAGGAGAUCUAGAUCCAGAGAGCAUCGCAGACACCGAUCUCGCUCCAUGUCACGAGGACGCAAGAGGAGGACUCGAUCCAAGUCUCGUGAGAAACGCCAUCGCCACAGGUCCAGGUCCAGUAGCCGAAGCCGCAGCCAUAGCCACCAGAGAAGUCGGCACAGUUCAAGAGAUAGGAGCAGAGAGCGAUCCAGGAGGAGAUCCUCAAAAGAAAGAUUCGGAGAUCAAUACUUAGCAUCACGUGACAGAGACAGGAGUUCAAGAGACAGAUCACCUCGUGACCGAGAUCGAAAAGAUAAGAAGCGGUCCUAUGAGAGUGCUAAUGGCAGAUCAGAAGACAGGAGGAGCUCUGAAGAGCGUGAAGCAGGGGAGAUCUAACUAGCUGUGUGUGGACACUUUGGAUAGCCUGUCAAAAGUGGGUAAGGACACAUCUGACAAUUACAGAAGACUCAUGCACAGCCUGAACAUCCCAUGUGUAGUUCAUCCAUUGUUUCAGCUGCAUGCUUG
rnacentral:lncRNA from 1 species